UAUGAGACACUCGUCUCUUUUAAAUGCCUCGUUUAUCAAUUUUACGUCUAAAGUAUAAAAACUUGAAACGAGGUUGUUGACCCUAAAGUACAACUAUCCUGUAUCAGUACAAAAAAUCACAAAUAUAUGAGACACUCGUCUCUUUCAAAUGCCUCGUUUAUCAAUUUUACGUCUAAAGUAUAAAAACUUGAAACGAGGUUGUUGACCCAAAAGUACAAUUAUCCUGUAUCAAUAUAAAAAAUCGCAAAUAUAUGAGACACUCGUCUCUUUUAAGUGCCUCGUUUAUCAAUUUUACGUCUAAAAUAUAGAAACUUGAAACGAGGUUGUUGACCCUAAAGUACAACUAUCCUGUAUCAGUACAAAAAAUCACAAAUAUAUGAGACACUCGUCUUUUUUAAAUGCCUCGUUUAUCAAUUUUACGUCUAAAGUAUAAAAACUUGAAACGAGGUUGUUGACCCAAAAGUACAAUUAUCCUGUAUCAAUAUAAAAAAUCGCAAAUAUAUGAGACACUCGUCUCUUUUAAGUGCCUCGUUUAUCAAUUUUACGUCUAAAAUAUAGAAACUUGAAACGAGGUUGUUGACCCUAAAGUACAACUAUCCUGUAUCAGUACAAAAAAUCACAAAUAUAUGAGACACUCGUCUCUUUCAAAUGCCUCGUUUAUCAAUUUUACGUCUAAAGUAUAAAAACUUGAAACGAGGUUGUUGACCCAAAAGUACAAUUAUCCUGUAUCAAUAUAAAAAAUCGCAAAUAUAUGAGACACUCGUCUCUUUUAAGUGCCUCGUUUAUCAAUUUUACGUCUAAAAUAUAGAAACUUGAAACGAGGUUGUUGACCCUAAAGUACAACUAUCCUGUAUCAGUACAAAAAAUCACAAAUAUAUGAGACACUCGUCUUUUUUAAAUGCCUCGUUUAUCAAUUUUACGUCUAAAGUAUAAAAACUUGAAACGAGGUUGUUGACCCUAAAGUACAAUUAUCCUGCAUCAAUACAAAAAAUCGCAAAUAUAUUUGACACUCGUCUCUUUUAAAUGCCUCGUUUAUCAAUUUUACGUCUAAAAUAUAAAAUCUGGAAACGAGGUUGUUGACCCUAAAGUACAAUUAUCCUGUAUUGAUACAAAUAAUCGCAAAUAUAAGAGACACUCGUCUAUUUUAAGUGCCUCGUUUAUCAAUUUUUCGUCUAAAAUCUAAAAACUUGAAACGAGGUUGUUGACCCUAAAGUACAAUUAUCCUGCAUCAGUACAAAAAAUCACAAAUAUAUGAGACAUUCGUCUCUUUUAAAUGCCUCGUUUAUCCAUUUUACGUCUAAAAUAUAAAAACUUGAAACGAGGUUGUUGACCCCAAAGUAUCCUCCUGCAUCAGUACAAAAAAUCACAAAUAUAUGAGACACUCGUCUCUUUUAAAUGCCUCGUUUAUCAAUUUUACGUCUUAAGUAUAAAAACUUGAAACGAGGUUGUUGACCCUAAAGUACAAUUAUCCUGUAUCAAAAUAAAAAAUCACAAAUGUAUGAGACACUCGUCUCUUUUAAAUGCCUCGUUUAUCAAUUUUACGUCUAAAAUCUAAAAACUUGAAACGAGGUUGUUGACCCUAAAGUACAAUUAUCCUGUAUCAAAAUAAAAAAUCACAAAUGUAUGAGACACUCGUCUCUUUUAAAUGCCUCGUUUAUCAAUUUUACGUCUAAAAUCUAAAAACUUGAAACGAGGUUAUUGACUCUAAAGUACAAUUAUCCUGCAUCAGUACAAAAAAUCACAAAUAUAUGAGACACUCGUCUCUUUUAAGUGCCUCGUUCAUCAAUCCUACGUCUAAAAUAUAAAAACUUGAAACGAGGUUGUUGACCCUAAAGUACAAUUAUUCUGCAUUAAUACAAAAAAUCGCAUAUAUGAGACACUCGUCUCUUUUGAAUGCCUCGUUUAUCAAAUUUAAUCCUGUAUCAAUACAAAAAAUCGCAAAUAUAUGAGACACUCGUCUCGUUUUGAUGCCUCGUUUAUCAAUUUUUCGUCUAAAAUCUAAAAACUUGAAACGAGGUUGUUGACCCUAAACUACAAUUAUGCUGUAUCAAUACAAAAAAUCGCAAAUAUAUGAGACACUCGUCUCGUUUUGAUGCCUCGUUUAUCAAUUUUAUGUCUAAAAUAUAAAAACUUGAAACGAGGUUGUUGACCCUAAAGUACAACUAUCCUGUAUCAGUACAAAAAAAUCACAAAUAUAUGAGACACUCGUCUCUUUUAAAUGCCUCGUUUAUCUAUUUUACGUCUAAAGUAUAAAAACUUGAAACGAGGUUGUUGACCCUAAAGUUUAACUAUCCUGUAUCAGUACAAAAAAUCACAAAUAUAUGAGACACUCGUCUCUUUUAAAUGCCUCGUUUAUCAAUUUUACGUCUAAAGUAUAAAAACUUGAAACGAGGUUGUUGACCCUAAAGUACAAUUAUCCUGUAUCAGUACAAAAAAUCACAAAUAUAUGAGACACUCGUCUCUUUUAAAUGCCUCGUUUAUCAAUUUUACGUCUAAAAUAUAAAACUUGAAACGAGGUUGUUGACCCUAAAGUACAAUUAUCCUGCAUUAAUACAAAAAAUCGCAUAUAUGAGACACUCGUCUCUUUUUAAUGCCUUGUUUAUCAAUUUUACGGCUAAAAUAUAAGAACUUGAAACAAGGUUAAUCACCCUAAAGUACAAUUAUUCUGUAUCAUUACAAAAAAUCGCAAGUAUAUGAGACACUCGUCUCAUUUAAAUGCCGCGUUUAUCAAUUUUGCGGCUAAAGUAUAAGAACUUGAAACGAGGUGUUGACCCUAAAGUACAAUUAUCCUGUAUCAAUAUAAAAAAUCGCAAAUAUAUGAGACACUCGUCUCUUUUAAGUGCCUCGUUUAUCAAUUUUACGUCUAAAAUAUAGAAACUUGAAACGAGGUUGUUGACCCUAAAGUACAACUAUCCUGUAUCAGUACAAAAAAUCACAAAUAUAUGAGACACUCGUCUCUUUCAAAUGCCUCGUUUAUCAAUUUUACGUCUAAAGUAUAAAAACUUGAAACGAGGUUGUUGACCCAAAAGUACAAUUAUCCUGUAUCAAUAUAAAAAAUCGCAAAUAUAUGAGACACUCGUCUCUUUUAAGUGCCUCGUUUAUCAAUUUUACGUCUAAAAUAUAGAAACUUGAAACGAGGUUGUUGACCCUAAAGUACAACUAUCCUGUAUCAGUACAAAAAAUCACAAAUAUAUGAGACACUCGUCUUUUUUAAAUGCCUCGUUUAUCAAUUUUACGUCUAAAGUAUAAAAACUUGAAACGAGGUUGUUGACCCUAAAGUACAAUUAUCCUGCAUCAAUACAAAAAAUCGCAAAUAUAUUUGACACUCGUCUCUUUUAAAUGCCUCGUUUAUCAAUUUUACGUCUAAAAUAUAAAAUCUGGAAACGAGGUUGUUGACCCUAAAGUACAAUUAUCCUGUAUUGAUACAAAUAAUCGCAAAUAUAAGAGACACUCGUCUAUUUUAAGUGCCUCGUUUAUCAAUUUUUCGUCUAAAAUCUAAAAACUUGAAACGAGGUUGUUGACCCUAAAGUACAAUUAUCCUGCAUCAGUACAAAAAAUCACAAAUAUAUGAGACAUUCGUCUCUUUUAAAUGCCUCGUUUAUCCAUUUUACGUCUAAAAUAUAAAAACUUGAAACGAGGUUGUUGACCCCAAAGUAUCCUCCUGCAUCAGUACAAAAAAUCACAAAUAUAUGAGACACUCGUCUCUUUUAAAUGCCUCGUUUAUCAAUUUUACGUCUUAAGUAUAAAAACUUGAAACGAGGUUGUUGACCCUAAAGUACAAUUAUCCUGUAUCAAAAUAAAAAAUCACAAAUGUAUGAGACACUCGUCUCUUUUAAAUGCCUCGUUUAUCAAUUUUACGUCUAAAAUCUAAAAACUUGAAACGAGGUUGUUGACCCUAAAGUACAAUUAUCCUGCAUCAGUACAAAAAAUCACAAAUAUAUGAGACACUCGUCUCUUUUAAGUGCCUCGUUCAUCAAUCCUACGUCUAAAAUAUAAAAACUUGAAACGAGGUUGUUGACCCUAAAGUACAAUUAUUCUGCAUUAAUACAAAAAAUCGCAUAUAUGAGACACUCGUCUCUUUUGAAUGCCUCGUUUAUCAAAUUUAAUCCUGUAUCAAUACAAAAAAUCGCAAAUAUAUGAGACACUCGUCUCGUUUUGAUGCCUCGUUUAUCAAUUUUUCGUCUAAAAUCUAAAAACUUGAAACGAGGUUGUUGACCCUAAAGUACAAUUAUCCUGUAUCAGUACAAAAAAUCUCAAAUAAAUGAGACACUCGUCUCUUUUAAAUGCCUCGUUUAUCAAUUUUACGUCUAAAAUAUAAAAACUUGAAACGAGGUUGUUGACCCUAAAGUACAAAUAUCUUGUAUCAAUACAAAAAUCGCAAAUAUAUGAGACACUCGUCUCUUUUAAGUGCCUCGUUUAUCAAUCCUACGUCUAAAAUCUAAAAACUUGAAACGAGGUUGUUGACCCUAAAGUACAAUUAUCCUGUAUUGAUACAAAUAAUCGCAAAUAUAAGAGACACUCGUCUAUUUUAAGUGCCUCGUUUAUCAAUUUUUCGUCUAAAAUCUAAAAACUUGAAACGAGGUUGUUGACCCUAAAGUACAAUUAUCCUGCAUCAGUACAAAAAAUCACAAAUAUAUGAGACAUUCGUCUCUUUUAAAUGCCUCGUUUAUCAAAUUUACGGCUAAAAUAUAAAAUCUGGAAACGAGGUUGUUGACCCUAAAGUACAAUUAUCCUGUAUUGAUACAAAUAAUCGCAAAUAUAAGAGACACUCGUCUAUUUUAAGUGCCUCGUUUAUCAAUUUUUCGUCUAAAAUCUAAAAACUUGAAACGAGGUUGUUGACCCUAAAGUACAAUUAUCCUGCAUCAGUACAAAAAAUCACAAAUAUAUGAGACAUUCGUCUCUUUUAAAUGCCUCGUUUAUCCAUUUUACGUCUAAAAUAUAAAAACUUGAAACGAGGUUGUUGACCCCAAAGUAUCCUCCUGCAUCAGUACAAAAAAUCACAAAUAUAUGAGACACUCGUCUCUUUUAAAUGCCUCGUUUAUAAAUUUUACGUCUAAAAUAUAAAAACUUGAAACGAGGUUGUUGACCCUAAAGUACAAUUAUCCUGUAUCAAAACAAAAAAUCGCAAAUAUAUGAGACACUCGUCUCUUUUAAAUGCCUCGUUUAUCAAUGUUACGUCUAAAAUAUAAAAACUUGAAACGAGGUUGUUGACCCUAAAGUACAAUUAUCCUGUAUUGAUACAAAUAAUCGCAAAUAUAUGAGACAUUCGUCUCUCUUAAUUGCCUCGUUUAUCAAUCCUACGUCAAAAAUAUAAAAACUUGAAACGAGGUAGUUGACCCUAAAGUACAAUUAUUCUGCAUUAAUACAAAAAAUCGCAUUUAUGAGACACUCGUCUCUUU